AUACAGGUCACCUGGAAUUCUUGUUCAAAUUCAGAUUCUUAUUUAGUAAUUCAAGGUGAGAAUCUGCAGUUUUAACAAGUUUCCAGUGCUGCUAAU
rnacentral:miRNA from 1 species